GAUGAACGCUGGCGGCGUGCUUAACACAUGCAAGUCGAACGGAACUACUCCAAUGAGAGUCUUCGGAAAGGAUUUGGUUUAGUUUAGUGGCGGACGGGUGAGUAACGCGUGGGUAACCUGCCCUAUACAGGGGGAUAACAGUUGGAAACGACUGUUAAUACCGCAUAAGCGCACAGGAGCGCAUGCUCCGGUGUGAAAAACUCCGGUGGUAUAGGAUGGACCCGCGUCUGAUUAGCUGGUUGGCGGGGUAACGGCCCACCAAGGCGACGAUCAGUAGCCGGCCUGCGAGGGUGAACGGACACAUUGGGACUGAGACACGGCCCAAACUCCGACGGGAGGCAGCAGUGGGGAAUAUUGCACAAUGGGGGAAACCCUGAUGCAGCGACGCCGCGUGAGCGAAGAAGUAUCUCGGUAUGUAAAGCUCUAUCAGCAGGGAAGAAAAUGACGGUACCUGACUAAGAAGCCCCGGCUAACUACGUG
rnacentral:rRNA from 1 species